rnacentral:rRNA from 1 species
UACGUAGGGGGCAAGCGUUGUCCGGAUUUAUUGGGCGUAAGGAGCUCGUAGGCGGCCAGUUGCGUCUGCUGUGAAAUCCCGGGGCUCAACCCCGGGCGUGCAGUGGAUACGGGCUGGCUAGAGGCAGGCAGGGGAGAACGGAAUUCCCGGCGUAGCGGUGAAAUGCGCAGAUAUCGGGAGGAACACCGGUGGCGAAGGCGGUUCUCUGGGCCUGUACUGACGCUGAGGAGCGAAAGCGUGGGGAGCGAACAGG